UGACACAGCACAACCGCAGCUGCCGCAGCAAGUCCAAACCAUCCGCCCAGGAAGCGCCGCAACCAGGGCUCGGGAGGGGCGGAGGGGGCAAGGCAGGGGUCUAGUCCAGGGGUAGUCUUGGCCCCACUUUGCAGCACACACUCCCUCCUUGCCCAGGGCAAGCCAACAAAAUGAGAUUCAAGCUGACCAGGCCGAGCCGUGGAGGAAUGCUGGGGCUUGCCCACUGAAGGGAUGGGGCCAGAGAGGCGUGGGUAAAGCAGACCCCAAGAAAGGGCAGGACAUUUCAGGUGAAGAAAGGUCAUAGCUUCAUACCUCACUUCCUGACACAAACAAGUUUUUACUGUUGUCAGCAACAAAGCCCUAAUAUAGCUGCGGAAGAGAAAAACUGCGUUGCAUUUUGCCUCUUGAGAGCAUCAUCAACAGUUACCGGAGGAAUGUAAUUCCAGAAAGCUCUGAAACUGGUGGUGAUGGGAAUUAUGGAACAAAUGCCUGAUUCUAUUUGUUGUUAUUCUUUGGGCAUUUCUGUUCUACCAGCGAUCUGCGAGUGAGCUCACUGAGGGGGCAAAUCUGGUUUUUCUUUUUGACUCUGUAAAAUUUAAUCAGGUCUGAGAGGAAACUCACAGCUUUCGGGAGAAAAUAAAGUAGGAACCACGAAAUGUCAUUUAACAGAGCGUGGGUUUGGUGACUGCAGGAAAGGAUUUAAGGACGCUCCUGUUCCGUUUGCUGUGUAAUGAGCACGGGCUCCACGCACGCACCGACGCCACAGCUCCCGGAUGCAGUGGCUCCCUUAUCUGGGCUUCUGCAGCGCCACAAGCCCCUUCGGGAUGCUGCGAGGGGCUCCUGGUGGGUGGUGGUACAAACGCUGCGGCCGCUACCGCCGCCGCCGCCGGUCCUGCUGCUGUUGUUGCUGCUGCAGUCACGUGGGAGCCCCUUUAAGUUUCCAUAGAGAGGCCUCUCCGGUGUCACAUGAUGGACAUGAUAUAAUGAAACAACAUUGUGGAGAGGAAAGCAUUAGGGGAGCCCACGGCUACAAAAACAAGUGAGUGAGAAGAGGUGGGAGAAAAGAAACUACGCCACCUCCCCUGCAGCCGAGCGCACGCAGCAGCCUGGCGUGACAAGUGGGCGACGCCGGGGGGCAGGGAGUGGGGGGUCCUCGGCCCGCCCCGGGGACCCUGUUGUCCACCGUGCGCAGAGCAACUUUUAACCGGCAGCCCCGCACCUGUCUCUGAGUCCCCAUCGCUCCCCGCUACCAUCCUGGGAAAAUUCUAGAAGAAUACGCUCUCGGAAUCUACGUGCGCAUCAUUUUCCUCCUCGCUCCGGAGGAAGGAGCCAGAAAGGAAAGCAGAGCUGCGUAAUGUUCAGACCACCGAACUACGAUGGCUCCCAGGGACGGUGUCCUGUGCAGGAGGAGUUUUGUCUCACACACUUCUGGGAAUCUUUUAAGUGAAGACUCGAGCUAGCAGGAGUCUGCAGCGUCUCUGCCUUGCUGGUCCUCUCUGAUCACUGGUUCACGAGAGCAUUGAGCAUAGCUCAGAGCCACUGGUUGCACAAAUGGCUGACUCAGUAGCUCAGGAAGACUGACUCUCAAGCAAAGAUGGGAAGUCAGCCUGCAAGCUGGGAUGUGAGAGCUCACUUGCAGUUCUCCAUUUAGCCAGGAGGUUUCCUAGGCAACCACUUAAGCAGUAAUUAAAGAGGAAGAACUAAAAGGGGGAAAAUGUCAGCAGCCUGGACCCUUGCAACAAUACAAUAAACCACCAAACAG